UCGUGGGGCAUCACAGUGUAGCAAUACAUGGGUGGCGACCGGCAAACGGGUGCGUAACACGUACGCAACUUACCCAUUACAGAGGGAUAGCCCAGGGAAACUUGGAUUAAUACUUCAUAUUAUAUAGGACUGGCAUCAGUUUUAUAUCAAAGCUACGGCGGUAAUGGAUGGGCGUGCGGUUGAUUAGAUAGUUGGCGGGGUAACGGCCCACCAAGUCUACGAUCAAUAGCUGAUGUGAGAGCAUGAUCAGCCACACGGGCACUGAGACACGGGCCCGACUCCUACGGGAGGCAGCAGUAAGGAAUAUUGGGCAAUGGACGCAAGUCUGACCCAGCCAUGCCGCGUGAAGGAUGAAGGUCCUCUGGAUUGUAAACUUCUUUUAUCUGGGGCGAAAACAACUCUUUCUAGAGUUCUUGACAGUACCAGAGGAAUAAGCACCGGCUAACUCCGUGCCAGCAGCCGCGGUAAUACGGAGGGUGCAAGCGUUAUCCGGAUUCACUGGGUUUAAAGGGUGCGUAGGCGGGCAGGUAAGUCAGUGGUGAAAUCCCCGAGCUUAACUCGGGAACUGCCGUUGAUACUAUCUGUCUUGAAUACUGUGGAGGUAAGCGGAAUAUGUCAUGUAGCGGUGAAAUGCUUAUAUAUGACAUAGAACACCAAUUGCGAAGGCAGCUUGCUACACCGUCAUUGACGCUGAGGCACGAAAGCGUGGGGAUC
rnacentral:rRNA from 1 species